AGUGGGAUAGCUGGGUCAAAUGGUGGUUCCAUUCCCAGUUUUCUGAGGAAUCUCCAUACUGCUUUCCAUAGUGGUUACACCAAUUUGUAGUUCCACCAGCUGU
rnacentral:pre_miRNA from 1 species